GAUGAACGCUAGCUACAGGCUUAACACAUGCAAGUCGAGGGGAAACGACAUCGAAAGCUUGCUUUUGAUGGGCGUCGACCGGCGCACGGGUGAGUAACGCGUAUCCAACCUGCCCAUCACUUGGGAAUAACCUUGCGAAAGUAAGACUAAUACCCAAUGAUAUCCCACGAAGGCAUCGGAAUGGGAUUAAAGAUUUAUCGGUGAUGGAUGGGGAUGCGUCUGAUUAGCUUGUUGGCGGGGUAACGGCCCACCAAGGCAACGAUCAGUAGGGGUUCUGAGAGGAAGGUCCCCCACAUUGGAACUGAGACACGGUCCAAACUCCUACGGGAGGCAGCAGUGAGGAAUAUUGGUCAAUGGGCGAGAGCCUGAACCAGCCAAGUAGCGUGCAGGAAGACGGACCUAUGGGUUGUAAACUGCUUUUAUAAGGGAAUAAAGUGGGUAACGUGUGACUUUUUGCAUGUACCUUAUGAAUAAGGACCGGCUAAUUCCGUG
rnacentral:rRNA from 1 species